rnacentral:rRNA from 1 species
CACGUAGGGUGCGAGCGUUGUCCGGAAUUAUUGGGCGUAAAGAGCUCGUAGGCGGUGUGUCGCGUCGGCCGUGAAAACCUGCAGCUUAACUGUGGGCUUGCGGUCGAUACGGGCAUCACUGGAGUUCGGCAGGGGAGACUGGAAUUCCUGGUGUAGCGGUGAAAUGCGUAGAUAUCAAGAGGAACACCUGCGGCGAAGGCGGGUUGCUGGGCCGUAACUGACGCUGAGGAGCGAAAGCAUGGGGAGCGAACAGG